rnacentral:rRNA from 1 species
UAGCUUGCUACCUGACCUAGCGGCGGACGGGUGAGUAAUGCUUAGGAAUCUGCCUAUUAGUGGGGGACAACAUUCCGAAAGGAAUGCUAAUACCGCAUACGCCCUACGGGGGAAAGCAGGGGAUCUUCGGACCUUGCGCUAAUAGAUGAGCCUAAGUCAGAUUAGCUGGUUGGUGGGGUAAAGGCCUACCAAGGCGACGAUCUGUAGCGGGUCUGAGAGGAUGAUCCGCCACACUGGGACUGAGACACGGCCCAGACUCCUACGGGAGGCAGCAGUGGGGAAUAUUGGACAAUGGGCGAAAGCCUGAUCCAGCCAUGCCGCGUGUGUGAAGAAGGCCUUUUGGUUGUAAAGCACUUUAAGCGAGGAGGAGGCUACUUGGAUUAAUACUCUAGGAUAGUGGACGUUACUCGCAGAAUAAGCACCGGCUAACUCUGUGCCAGCAGCCGCGGUAAUACAGAGGGUGCGAGCGUUAAUCGGAUUUACUGGGCGUAAAGCGUGCGUAGGCGGCUUUUUAAGUCGGAUGUGAAAUCCCUGAGCUUAACUUAGGAAUUGCAUUCGAUACUGGGAAGCUAGAGUAUGGGAGAGGAUGGUAGAAUUCCAGGUGUAGCGGUGAAAUGCGUAGAGAUCUGGAGGAAUACCGAUGGCGAAGGCAGCCAUCUGGCCUAAUACUGACGCUGAGGUACGAAAGCAUGGGGAGCAAACAGGAUUAGAUACCCUGGUAGUCCAUGCCGUAAACGAUGUCUACUAGCCGUUGGGGCCUUUGAGGCUUUAGUGGCGCAGCUAACGCGAUAAGUAGACCGCCUGGGGAGUACGGUCGCAAGACUAAAACUCAAAUGAAUUGACGGGGGCCCGCACAAGCGGUGGAGCAUGUGGUUUAAUUCGAUGCAACGCGAAGAACCUUACCUGGUCUUGACAUAGUAAGAACUUUCCAGAGAUGGAUUGGUGCUUUCGGGAACUUACAUACAGGUGCUGCAUGGCUGUCGUCAGCUCGUGUCGUGAGAUGUUGGGUUAAGUCCCGCAACGAGCACAACCCUUUUCCUUAUUUGCCAGCGGGUUAAGCCGGGAACUUUAAGGAUACUGCCAGUGACAAACUGGAGGAAGGCGGGGACGACGUCAAGUCAUCAUGGCCCUUACGACCAGGGCUACACACGUGCUACAAUGGUCGGUACAAAGGGUUGCUACCUAGCGAUAGGAUGCUAAUCUCAAAAAGCCGAUCGUAGUCCGGAUUGGAGUCUGCAACUCGACUCCAUGAAGUCG